rnacentral:rRNA from 1 species
GACGAACGCUGGCGGCGUGCUUAACACAUGCAAGUCGAACGGAAAGGCCCCUUUGGGGGUACUCGAGUGGCGAACGGGUGAGUAACACGUGAGUAACCUGCCCUUGACUUCGGGAUAACUUCAGGAAACUGGGGCUAAUACCGGAUAGGAAUCCUUGCUGCAUGGUGGGGGUUGGAAAGCUUCGGCGGUUUUGGAUGGACUCGCGGCUUAUCAGCUUGUUGGUGGGGUAGUGGCUUACCAAGGCUUUGACGGGUAGCCGGCCUGAGAGGGCGACCGGCCACAUUGGGACUGAGAUACGGACCAGACUCCUACGGGAGGCAGCAGUGGGGAAUAUUGCACAAUGGGCGGAAGCCUGAUGCAGCAACGCCGCGUGCGGGAUGACGGCCUUCGGGUUGUAAACCGCUUUCAGCAGGGGCGAAGCUUGUGGUGACGGUACCUGCAGAAGAAGCACCGGCUAACUACGUG